UGAGGGAAUAUUGGUCAAUGGACGAAAGUCUGAACCAGCCAUGCCGCGUGAAGGAAUAAGGCCCUAUGGGUCGUAAACUUCUUUUGUAUGUGAGCAAUAAGGUCCACGUGUGGACCGAUGAGAGUAGCAUACGAAUAAGCAUCGGCUAACUCCGUGCCAGCAGCCGCGGUAAUACGGAAGGUCCGGGCGUUAUCCGGAUUUAUUGGGUUUAAAGGGAGCGCAGGCCGUGGGUUAAGCGUGUCGUGAAAUUCCGUCGCUCAACGGCGGACGUGCGGCGCGAACUGGUCCACUUGAGUACGCGGGACGUUGGCGGAAUUCGUGGUGUAGCGGUGAAAUGCUUAGAUAUCACGAAGAACUCCGAUUGCGAAGGCAGCUGACGGUAGCGCAACUGACGCUGAGGCUCGAAAGUGCGGGUAUCGAACAGGAUUAGAUACCCUGGUA
rnacentral:rRNA from 1 species